GACGAACGCUGGCGGCGUGCCUAAUACAUGCAAGUAGAACGCCGAAGGAGGAGCUUGCUUCUCUGGAUGAGUUGCGAACGGGUGAGUAACGCGUAGGUAACCUGCCUGGUAGCGGGGGAUAACUAUUGGAAACGAUAGCUAAUACCGCAUAAUAGUAGAUGUUGCAUGACAUUUGCUUAAAAGGUGCAAUUGCAUCACUACCAGAUGGACCUGCGUUGUAUUAGCUAGUUGGUGAGGUAACGGCUCACCAAGGCGACGAUACAUAGCCGACCUGAGAGGGUGAUCGGCCACACUGGGACUGAGACACGGCCCAGACUCCUACGGGAGGCAGCAGUAGGGAAUCUUCGGCAAUGGACGGAAGUCUGACCGAGCAACGCCGCGUGAGUGAAGAAGGUUUUCGGAUCGUAAAGCUCUGUUGUAAGAGGAGAACGAGUGUGAGAGUGGAAAGUUCACACUGUGACGGUAGCUUACCAGAAAGGGACGGCUAACUACGUG
rnacentral:rRNA from 1 species